rnacentral:rRNA from 1 species
GGGUUUGGAGGUUUAACUCCCAAACCCAAUGUGAACGUUACCAAACUGUUGCCUCGGCGGGGUCACGCCCCGGGUGCGUCGCAGCCCCGGAACCAGGCGCCCGCCGGAGGAACCAACCAAACUCUUUCUGUAGUCCCCUCGCGGACGUAUUUCUUACAGCUCUGAGCAAAAAUUCAAAAUGAAUCAAAACUUUCAACAACGGAUCUCUUGGUUCUGGCAUCGAUGAAGAACGCAGCGAAAUGCGAUAAGUAAUGUGAAUUGCAGAAUUCAGUGAAUCAUCGAAUCUUUGAACGCACAUUGCGCCCGCCAGUAUUCUGGCGGGCAUGCCUGUCCGAGCGUCAUUUCAACCCUCGAACCCCUCCGGGGGAUCGGCGUUGGGGAUCGGGACCCCUCACACGGGUGCCGGCCCCUAAAUACAGUGGCGGUCUCGCCGCAGCCUCUCCUGCGCAGUAGUUUGCACAACUCGCACCGGGAGCGCGGCGCGCCCACGUCCGUAAAACACCCAACUUUCUGAAAUGUUGACCUCGGAUCAGGUAGGAAUACCCGCUGAACUUAAGCAUAUCAAUAAGCGGAGGAA